ensembl:lncRNA
UAUUGGACAAAUUGAAAUGAAAAAUGAAAUGAAAAAUCUCUCUUUCUUUUUCUCCCCUUUCUCCCAGGAAAUUUACCUAAGUCUCAAAGCAAAUAAGUAGAGAAGAUAAGAUUUGAAUCCAGAUCCUCAAACUGAAAAUCUAGUGCUCAUUCCACUAUAUCAUCAUAGCUGUAUAGAUUUAAUGUGAGAAUCAUCACAGGACACCAUUCAAGGGAGUAUUUGGAGAUGAGCUCGAACAAGCCUGCAGCAAAUGUAUCCAACUGUCUUAUUUGGGCUGUUUAACUACCAAUAUCACUGGGAGGCUGCUUUCAUGUCCACUUGCAUCUGAAGGUUGUAUGUUCUACAUGACUGGGGAAAGAGGCAAUUGUGUUAAAUGGAUGCAACUCAAGGUAGCUAUUGGCACUGAUUUAUUCACUGGUUCUUAGUAUCAGAGUAUGCCUUAUUCCAAGAUCAGGCAUCUUGCUUCCUUCUAG